rnacentral:SRP_RNA from 1 species
GAGUGGGUCCUUACGCAAUAGAGCUUUACGAAUCUGGUCAGGUCUUGACGGAAGCAGCCAUAAGUAAAAUACUCUAUGUGCCGUAAGAUUGCUUGCUUUGAG